AGGGGGCAUGGGACUCUCCAAGAGGGGGCGUGGGCUAUUGGUUGAAGUGCCUAGAGACCUUAAAGGAGAUCCCUUUAAAUAGGAAUAAGAUUUAAAUCCUAUUCAAAACCAAAUAAGUGCUUAAUAUAAGUCCUACUUGUAUUAUAUUUCCUUAUUCAUUUAGUUAUUUGACUUCCUUUAGGAAAUCAAUUAGGCACCAACUAUUGGAGCUCUUGCACCCACAAAAACACACCCC
rnacentral:lncRNA from 1 species